UCUUAUCCUCUCUCUCUCUUUGACCCACUCUUAUCCUUUUGCCUUCCAUUAUGAGAUGACACAGUUUCUUUAUAAAUUAACCAGGCUUAGAUAUUCUAUUAUAGCAGCACAAAACAGACUAAGGCAAGCUCUAAGCUCCAUGUGGAUGAGGACUUUAUUCUGCAAUUCCUUAACAUUCCCGCCAACAUUUAGAAGACUUAAAAGCAGAUUAAGUAACUGCUGCCAACAUAUAUGUUGAGAUUUUUUUUGAAAUGGUUAGCUCUUAGUAGAGUUACAAAGAGUUGAUCACAAUCCCAUCAACUGCCACCUAUACUUGUAUUUCAAAAGUGUCUGGUGAUCAUUUGUGAAUCAUAUAAUUUUCAAGACCAAGAUCAUACGUUUGGUAUCAUGAGAACCAUACUGUAGCAAAUCAAAGUGCAACAAAUGGCUGUUUUUAAAAUUUGUGGAAGAAAAUGCUCACAGUUAUCUUUAAAAUGAAACUUUGGAUUGUUUCACAUUCAAUUGGUAUGGAAAAUAUCCUCGGCAUCGAGAAGCAUAAUAAAGGUGAUAUUUGCAAAUAAAACACAAAAGUAGAAUUUUUUAAAGCUACAGUAGAGUUACAACAUCAAAACUUUCAUAUAUGUAGUCUCUGUUGUUCCUGUGCAAGGUAACUUUUUGGAUUUGAUGUAAGAAUUUUAAACUCCCGUGUUUUUCCAUAUGUAACUAAACAUUAAAACAAGAUCAUAAUAUCAUUUCUUAUUAAAAAUUUGCCUGCUGGUCUUUUAAGUACACAACUUAUUCACACAUAUAAAUUGAUAAUAUAUUAAAUGAGAAAUGUAAUUAGUAUUUGCUCAUUUUUCUUCUUUGAGAAUUUUGUGAAUAAAUGUUCAUUAAUCUAGUGGCAAAUGUACCCUAACGUUGUAUAAUUCACACCCUUUCUGCAUGAGUUUACUAAGAUGUAAUCUAUUUUUCAUUUUAUCUCCUCUCUUUGCUCCAAUUGCACUUCUAUAGGUACUAAAUGUUUAUUUAUGUACGUAUUUGAUUAUUCAUAUGUAAACAUCUGUCAACUCAAUAAAACUCAUUGCAGGGUACUCAUUACUUUAAAGAGAAAACUGGGCUCAUUGCAGUGAAACUAAAUGUAAAAA
rnacentral:lncRNA from 1 species